rnacentral:rRNA from 1 species
GACGUAGGGCGCAAGCGUUGUCCGGAUUUAUUGGGCGUAAAGAGCUCGUAGGCGGCUUGUUGCGUCGUCCGUGAAAACCCGCAGCUCAACUGCGGGCUUGCGGACGAUACGGGCAGGCUGGAGUUCGGUAGGGGAGACUGGAAUUCCUGGUGUAGCGGUGAAAUGCGCAGAUAUCAGGAGGAACACCGGUGGCGAAGGCGGGUCUCUGGGCCGAUACUGACGCUGAGAUGCGAAAGCGUGGGGAUCAAACAGG